GGCCGUAACUGCAGGUCGAGAUUCCUACGGGAGGCAGCAGUGGGGAAUCUUGCACAAUGGGCGAAAGCCUGAUGCAGCGAUGCCGCGUGCGGGAAGAAGGCCCUAGGGUUGUAAACCGCUUUCAGGAGGGAAGAAAAUGACGGUACCUCCAGAAGAAGGUGCGGCCAACUACGUGCCAGCAGCCGCGGUGACACGUAGGCACCAAGCGUUAUCCAGAUUUAUUGGGCGUAAAGAGCUCGUAGGCGGUUUGGUAAGUCGGGUGUGAAAACUCUGGGCUCAACCCAGAGAGGCCACUCGAUACUGCUAUGACUAGAGUACGGUAGGGGAGCGGGGAAUUCCUGGUGUAGCGGUGAAAUGCGCAGAUAUCAGGAGGAACACCAGCGGCGAAGGCGCCGCUCUGGGCCGUAACUGACGCUGAGGAGCGAAAGCAUGGGUAGCAAACAGGAUUAGAUACCCUGGUAGUCCAUGCCGUAAACGUUGGGCACUAGGUGUGGGUCUCAACCAACGAGAUCCGCGCCGUCGCUAACGCAUUAAGUGCCCCGCCUGGGGAGUACGGUCGCAAGACUAAAACUCAAAGGAAUUGACGG
rnacentral:rRNA from 1 species